UACGUAGGGGGCAAGCGUUGUCCGGAUUUAUUGGGCGUAAAGCGCGUGUAGGCGGCCACACAGGUCCGUUGUGAAAACUCGAGGCUUAACCUCGAGACGUCGAUGGAAACCGUAUGGCUAGAGUCCGGAAGAGGAGAGUGGAAUUCCUGGUGUAGCGGUGAAAUGCGCAGAUAUCAGGAAGAACACCCGUGGCGAAGGCGGCUCUCUGGGAUGGUACUGACGCUGAGACGCGAAAGCGUGGGGAGCGAACAGG
rnacentral:rRNA from 1 species